AAAUGUCUGAGAUUGAUGGUGAGUGCCUGGCAACGACUUGUUAUGAAGUGAAUGCAGUGGAACGGUGGAGAGAGAAUGUGACAUCUAGUAGCUGAAUGUUAUCAAUAGCAACUUUAAUAUGUGCAAAA